rnacentral:sRNA from 1 species
AUUUUUUGUUAAAAAUAUGCGUCCAAUCACAAGACGACAAGUGUCAGACUCUAUUAAAUUCUCAAAGCUCUCUAGAGAGAGUCAAUGCUCUCAAUUAUAAUGAG